UUGCAAACUCAGUCACUAGCUCUGCAUGAUGUUGCAGAAGCAAGGGGAACAUGUUUGCUAAAAUAAACAUGGUCAUAGGACCUGUAUUAGCCUUAGAAAUCUUAAUUACUCGGGCUGUUAAUUUUAUGCCAUGAUAAGG
ensembl:snoRNA SNORA66 Small nucleolar RNA SNORA66